rnacentral:tRNA from 1 species
GCUGGUGUAGCUCAGUGGGAGAGCAUCAGCCCUCGCACUGAAGGAUCAUGGGUUCGAUUCCUGUCAAGGGCA